rnacentral:lncRNA from 1 species
CGAAUUGAAGUGCGACGGGAUUCUUUGUCCGAAGCUGAAUCGAGCUUGAACUGGGUUGCUAAUAGUGAUAGUGAUACUCUCCCGAAUCGUACUCACAACGUCAUCAACUCUCUUGCGGUUGAUUCGGACUUGAAGUCUUUGAUGAAGGAAUACUUUGACAACUUCGAAAAGACUUUAGAGUUCUGUACUGCCCUUAAGGAUUGCCUCGAGCAUGUUCGAAACAAUCACGGAAUUAUUGAGUCGGCGCUUAAAUGUUAUGAUGAAGAGGAUAAAUUAGAAGUCCGGACCGUCGAGGAAAAUUCUGUUAAGGCCUUGGGGGAACUGAGGAAGUUCAAAGAAGCUGAAGAACCUUUCGUUAAGCAGUUCCUUGUACUAAAAAAAAUGGCCCAUAGGCGGUACGAAUCGAUGCAAGGGAAGGUGCGUGCUCGGAAGAAAACGCUCAAAAAGAAAUUGGAAUCAUGGGAAACAUGGAGGAGGGUGACAAUGGCCUUUUUUGUUGCCGCUUUUAUUUCCGUGUUGGUUUUUUCCGUGGCGGAGGCAACCAAAUCCGCAAAGCCUGUAAUAACAGCUUUGGCAGGUGCGUCGACGGCUGCUAUAGUUCCGCUGGGAACAUGGUGCAAUAAGUGGUGGAAGCGGAACAAGGAAGAGAUAAAGAAGCAGAAGAAGUUAACAACUAUAAUGGAUAUCUAUGGUUCUAGCGCUACCACCAUAAGAGCGCUUGUUGACCAAUUGGAAAUUAAGAAAAAGUCACUGUUGCACUCUGUUGAUUGCGUGCUCACUGAAGGAUAUACUUUGAAGGCUGCGAUGGAUGAUAUCAACGAAAAAUUGAAACUUGUUAUGCCUAUCAUUACACGUUUGCUUCGAAAGACCGAUGACUAUGGCAGUAAAUUUAGGACGGAUCGGGAAGAUACUCUGCGGCAGAUGAUGCAUAUGCUCUAGCACAUCAACCGGAGAGCGAAGACAAUCCCUUGAGAACUCUAGGAAUGACAUACCUCAUCGUAUUUAUGGCGUAUCAAUUUUACAUUCCAGUUUAUGUGCAUUCAUGUUUGUAAUUUCAUAUAUGAUAUAAUGAUUCUAUGUUCCUAUGUGAUUAUAUACAUUUGAUCCUAUAUGAUAUAAUAUUGAUAUUGUUGUAUUCAAUGCUAUAUGAUGAUAUUACGAUAUAUAUAUAUGUAAGUGAUGCAACACUGCUAUGUAUUACGAGACUGUAGAGAAUAUUUUAAUAAAGAAAGAAAACGUUGCAAAUAAGUGAACAAAAAUAUAUCGAAAACAAGUGAAAAGAAAAUUUCUAUAAACAAUUUAUCUAAUAUGUACAUAUAUUAGGUGUAUGACUCACCUCAAUUCGAUCUUUUAAUAAUAAUCAUUGUUGUUAGUUUAAUAUUUAAUAUCAUACAAAAAAAUAUUUAAUAUGUUUGUAUAUAUAUAUUUUUUUUUCUUACAACCUACAUGUAUUAAAUAUUUAUAAAGAUCUGUAUAAAAUAUUUGACAUGUUUUAUCCACUUUAUUAAUUAAAUAUUUAUAAAGAUCUGUAUAAAGUAUAUGCUUGGUUGGAGUUAUUUUAAAUUCAAAUUAAUUUAGAUUCACAAUAAUAAGAUUUUUGAGUUUAAUCAAGUUGGUAGCUAGGUUGGCAAGGGCUUGACUCUCCUUAAAAUGGGAUAAUUGUGCUUUAGACCUUGAAAUCUACUAUCUUUCAAGUUAAUGAAUAAUAAAAUUAUAGUUUGAUCACUCCAAAAAUGAUAAAUUUUGAUUUAAUUCUUUUAAAAACUGUAGAUGUAAGCCAAUACAAUGUUGAAAUUGUAUUUUAGCUCUUAUAAAAACAUAUUACUUAAUCUCAACUCCAAAAAUCUAUAGCUUCGCCGGUCUAAGAUCAAUUUUGAGUGAUUUUAAUCAAUGUUGUUUGAAUAAGACAAGAUCAACCGGUCGAACCGAAAAUUAGUUAGGAUACUAAUUUGAAUAAAGGCAUUGAACUUAUUGAUCCUAAAACUGAUACGAACAAAGCAAAAAAUUGAUUGAACAAAAUCUUUAAUAUUUUUUCAUUUUUAUAAUUUUUUUAAUAACUUCUAAACCAAUUAAUAUCACUAGUGUAACCUACAAAUAAAUUACAUGACUGAUUUGUCCAGUUUUAAAAACCUUCACCAGUAUAGCUGUAGGCCUUUGCUAAGUAGAAACAAAACAGCAGAAAGACCGGACGGGAGACUAAAGUGGUGUCCAAAUGAUUUACGUAACACGUUUAGAUUGUGUCAUUUUCCACAGACUGUAGUUACCUUUGGGACCAAGUUUAUUUUAUAUCCACACAAGUUGCCUUUUGCCAGAUCCGCGGAGAUCUUUAGUGGACUAAAAAUUUAAAAUGUCAUCGGAGCCGGGCCCUCCAGUCCCUGCUGCCGCCUCUGAACCGUGGAUCAUCAUCAAGCUGGUCACUCUCAAAGUCAGGGUCAUUGAACAGUAUACCCCACAUGUUGAAACAAACACUUUCCUUCAACUUUCCUUCCAUUUUCUCGCGCAUUAACUAAAUUCAUUAAAAUAAAGCACCCUUUUUAGUCAUCAGCUGAAAUUUCAGGUACUUUAAAGCUCAUACAUCUAUAUAAUCUCUCAAAGAUUUGAUGUUUUUAGUGUCUAUACUUGAAAACUAUUUCUGAUCACUCCAAAAAUGAUAAAUUUUGAUUUAAUUCUUUUAAAAACUGCAGAUGUAAGCCAAUACAAUGUUGAAAUUGUAUUUUAGUUCUUAUAAAAACAUAUUACUUAAUCUCAACUCCAAAAAUCUAUAGCUUCGCCGGUCUAAGAUCAAUUUUGAGUGAUUUUAAUCAAUGUUGUUUGAAUAAGACAAGAUCAACCGGUCGAACCGAAAAUUAGUUAGGAUACUAAUUUGAAGAAGGGCAUUGAACUUAUUGAUCCUAAAACUGAUACGAACAAAGCAAAAAAUUGAUUGAACAAAAUCUUUAAUAUUUUUUCAUUUUUAUAAUUUUUUUAAUAACUUCUAAACCAAUUAAUAUCACUAGUGUAACCUACAAAUAAAUUACAUGACUGAUUUGUCCAGUUUUAAAAACCUUCACCAGUAUAGCUGUAGGCCUUUGCUAAGUAGAAACAAAACAGCAGAAAGACCGGACGGGAGACUAAAGUGGUGUCCAAAUGAUUUCCGUAACACGUUUAGAUUGUGUCAUUUUCCACAGACUGUAGUUACCUUUGGGACCAAGUUUAUUUUAUAUCCACACAAGUUGCCUUUUGCCAGAUCCGCGGAGAUCUUUAGUGGACUAAAAAUUUAAAAUGUCAUCGGAGCCGGGCCCUCCAGUCCCUGCUGCCGCCUCUGAACCGUGGAUCAUCAUCAAGCUGGUCACUCUCAAAGUCAGGGUCAUUGAACAGUAUACCCCACAUGUUGAAACAAACACUUUCCUUCAACUUUCCUUCCAUUUUCUCGCGCAUUAACUAAAUUCAUUAAAAUAAAGCACCCUUUUUAGUCAUCAGCUGAAAUUUCAGGUACUUUAAAGCUCAUACAUCUAUAUAAUCUCUCAAAGAUUUGAUGUUUUUAGUGUCUAUACUUGAAAACUAUUUCUGGAUUUUUUAAGACCUUUCUUAUUUUGUUCAUUUGUUGAACUUCAAGAAAAGUCGAACGGGACUGAAUUCCCGGUCUGAACUCAAAUGGAGCUUGAAUAGGGCUGAUUAUAGACAUAGUUCAACUCUGCAAGAUUUGGAUGAUUCUCUCAUCGACCCUUUCAUCAACUCACUCGCGGUUGGUUCGGACUUGAAUUCUUUGGUGAAGGAAUCCUUUGACUACAUUAAAAGGACUUUUGAGUUCUGUAUUGCCAUUGAGGAUUGCCUCAUACGUACUCGCAACAAUCAUGAAAUUAAUUAGUUGGUGGUUAAGUGUUUUGAUAAAGAGGUCGGAUUAGAAGUCAGGACCGACAAGAAGAAAUUUGUCGGUGGAACUGAAGAGGUUCAAAGCAGCCAAAAAGCCUUCUUUGAGAAGUUACUUGUACUGAAAGGCACAAUCUAUGGGCAAGAAGAAUCAAUGCUAGGUAAGUUGCGUGUUCAAAAAGAAAGGCUGGAUAAGAAAUUGAAAUCUUUGGAAACAUAGAGGAUGGUGCCAAAUGCCUUGUUUGUUGCCGCCUUCGGUUCCGUGUUAGUUUUUUCUGUGAUGGCUCGUGCAUUGACGGCUGCUAUAAUUCUGGCUUGAAAAUGGUGCGAUGGGCGUUAGAAGCAGAACGAGGAAAAUGUGAAAGAGCAGAAGAAGUUAACUACAAUGUACUAUGCUCCACUUCUAAGUAAGAUGAUCAUCAUAAGGGUGCAUGUUGAGCUAUUUGAAGAAAAGAUCCACGUAGUACGAAAUUUUACGCUCUAGAGAUAAUGAAAUCCCGCCUCUACUCAUAAGAUGAAUAGUUAUAAACAUGCCGAUUCUGAAAUGUACAUGCUAGUCCAAUGUUAUAUACGAUGUUUUUGACAAUAUCUAAUACAUGCUUGUUUUGUAGCAAAUGUUGUACUCAUGUUAUAACAGUGCUAUGUGUUGUUCCAAUAGGGUCGGAAGCGUGUAAAUUAUUGUACUAAAAAAUCACACAAAGUUCAAUUCCCAGGGAAGAGAGGUGGAUCACAUGGAUCUCUUAAAUACCAAGUCUUUCCUUAGACAGAAUAUCCCUUCUAUAGUAAUUUAAUAGCACAAUUAAAUACUACUAUUAUACCCUCAAAUAUUGAAAGAAAAAUAGGACAAGAAAGAACACAAGAGAUUUAACGAGGUUCGGUAAAUUAUACCUACGUCCUCGGGCACUAACACCAGAUGAUAACUUUACUAUCUCCAAAGUAUUACAAACAAAUAGAAUUCCUUAAGAAUUCUCAAAUGGGAGAAGAGAGAAAACUAAGAGAGAAAGAUUGGUUGGGAUGAAUUGAAAUGAGAAAUGAGAAGGCCUAUUUAUAGUUGAGGUUCAAGGACCAAACAAUAAAUAGCCCAUUAUCUCAAGGACCAAAAAAAAAAAUUAUCCCUUGCCACUUUUCCAAAGUUGGUGGUUGUCAUUAUUGAUUGUCUCCCAUUAAUGUUAAUGGUAACAAUCAUGGAAUUAUUGAGUCGGCGGUUAAGUGUUAUGAUGAAGAGGACAAAUUAGAAGUCGGGACCGACGAGAAGAAAUCCGUUAAGGCCUUGGAGGAACUGAGGAGGUUCAAAGCAGCUGAAGAGCCUUUUGUUGAGGAGCUUCUUGUACUGAAAGGAACGGCCCGUAGGCGGCAGGAAUCGAUGCAAGAGAAGUUGCAUGCUCGGAGGGGAACGCUCAAAAAGAAAUUGGAAUCACUGGAAACAUGGAGGAGGGUGUGGGAUGCCUUGUUUGUUGCUGCUUUCAUAUCUGCGUUGGUUUUUUUCCGUGGUGGCGGCAGCCUUGUCCGUGAAGCCUGUAGUGACUGCUUUGGCUAGUGCGUUGACGGUUGCUAUAGCUCCGGCCUGGAAAAGGUGCGAUGAGCAUUGGAAUCGGAACGAGGCAAAGGUGAAAAGGCAGAAGAAAUUAACAAAUGCAAUGGAGUUCUUUGCUCCUUGUACAAUCAAAAUAUGGGUGGGUGUUGAGCGAUUGGAAAUUGAGAUCACGUCACUGAUGAGGACCAUUGAUUUCGUGCUCGGAGAAGAAUAUGUGUUGAAGUUCGCAAUGGAUGAGAUCAACGAAAACUCGAUACAUAUUGCGAAAACCGUCAUAGAUUUGCUUUGGGAGGCUGAUAACUGUGGCUGUAAUAUUAGGACGAAUUGGGAUAUGAUUUUGUGGCAGAUGAUAGACAAUCCUUGGGAACUCUAGAAAUGGCAUACUUCACCGUGUUUUUGUCAUAUCAGUUUUAUGUGCAUUUGUCACGGACUUAGAGUUUUCCCACGCGAUCCGUGCGGCCUUAGGCAGUUUCUCUGCUUCAAACGCCUAAGUCAGCCUAACUUGUAACAAAAACAAGAUUCAGCAGCAAAAAUGCCCAAGUCAACUUCACUCGCAACAAUAAAGGAUUCAAUAGAAUUCCCUUAAGAUUUUCACGAAGAACAGCAGAAGAACGAAGUAAGAACGAGCCUUGAAAGAUGAACAAAAACAAGAACACUUGAGAGAAAAGUUUGAGUGAAUACUCUCAAAAUUCUUAUUAAGAACUCAAUGAAUAUACAAUGAGCAAAAAUGUCUCUAUUUAUAGUUGAGACUCACAGUAUAUCAAUAGCUAUAAUUAAAAGCUGAAUACAAUUAGAACUCUAAGCUUACAUAACCAGCUAUAUACAAAUAGAACUCUAAGAUUCCAUAAUUAUAUAUUCUAGAACACUUCCCAUUUCUAUCAGGCUCGUGAGAUGGGCUUUUAAUCUCUCCAAUCACAGGGCCAGUUUGGUUGGGCCAGUUUGGUUGGGCUAAAUGACCUCCCUCGAACACGAUGGAUCGCACCAGUUUGUCAUGGUUGCGAGCCCCGACGCGCAACCCAUGACAUUCUCCCCCACUUGUUCUAGCGACGCCCUCGUCGCAUCCUCCUUAUGAAACUGGUCAAUCUUCCCUUGGAACUGCCACAAUGCCUCAGCAGGUUCCCAACUUGCUUCGCUAUCAGGAAGUCCCUUCCAUCGAACUAAGUACUCAUGCUGUGGUCGGUGGUACUUUCGUCUAAUUACCCGAUCUGCCUCAAUGUUUUCUACUUCACGAUAAUACGAGACUUUUACCCCCAUCGGUGCUCGUUCGGACUUGCCUCGAUUCGGAUCUUCUUGAUCCUCAUAAAACGGCUUAAGCAUGCUUACAUGGAAGACUGGGUGUACUUUAAGUUUUGGUGGCAACUCCAGCUUGUAGGCCACCUUGCCCACGCUGGCCAUCUUGUUAAUCGUUUGCCAUCAUCUGCAUUAGAAAGAAAAACUCCUAUGGAGGUAUGGUCUGGAAAACCGGCUACAGAUUAUGAUUCCUUACAUGUGUUUGGAACCACUGCAUAUUACCAUGUGAAGGAGUCAAAGUUAGAUCCGAGGGCAAAGAAAGCUCUCUUUAUGAGAAUCACUUCUGGAGUGAAGGGAUUUCGUCUUUGGUGCUUAAGCACAAAGAAAAUGAUCUGUAGCAGAGAUGUUACCUUUGAUGAAUCUGCCACAUUAAAAAAAGUAGCAAAUAAAGAUAUUCAGACGAGCAAUACUCCACAGCAGGUGGAGUGUACUCCAAAACAGGUGGAGUUUGAGCAGAUGGGGAUUUGCCCAGUUAAUAAGUCUAAUUCUCCAGCCACAAUGGAGGAAUUAGAGGUUGAAGAGGUUCUGACCCAAGAACCACUAAGUACACCAGAACCAGUUGCAGUUGCAAUGCCACGGAGAGAAAUUCGUAAACCUGCUCGAUUUACUAAUAUGGUGGCCUACGCCCUUCCCGUUGUUGAUGAUAUUCCUAUCACUUAUCAAGAAGCAAUGCAAAGCUUAGAAAGUGAUAAAUAGAAAAGCGCCAUGGAUGAAGAAAUGCAGUCUCUCCGGAAGAACAAUACUUGGGAGUUGGCGCAAUUACCAAAAGGUAAAAGGGCAAUCGGAUGCAAGUGGGUAUUCGCAAAGAAAGAUGGAUCUCCUAGCAAGAAGGAUAUUCGCUACAAGGCAAGAUUGGUAGCUAAAGGCUACGCUCAGAAGGAGGGAAUUGACUACAAUGAUGUAUUUUCCCCUGUUGUGAAGCAUUCCUCCAUUAGAAUUUUGUUGGCCUUGGUAGCACAGUUGAAUUUGGAGCUAGCUCAACUUGAUGUUAAGACGGCUUUCUUGCAUGGUGAGUUAGAAGAGGAGAUCUAUAUGACUCAGCCAGAAGGAUACACAGAUGCUUGUGGUAGAAAUUGGGUUUGUAAGCUUAACAAAUCGCUAUAUGGAUUGAAGCAAUCCCCAAGGCAGUGGUACAAGCGAUUUGAUAGCUUUAUGAGAAGGCAGAAGUACACAAGAAGCAAAUAUGACAAUUGUGUAUAUUUGCAAAAGCUGCAUGACGGAUCUUUCAUUUAUCUACUCUUGUAUGUUAAUGAUAUGUUAAUCGCUUCGAAGAGCCAAAAUGAGAUAGAUAAGCUGAAGGCUCAGUUGAAUCAAGAGUUCGAGAUGAAAGAUCUAGGUGAGGCCAAGAAGAUUCUCGGCAUGGAGAUAAGUAGAGAUAGACCGAGAGGCAAGCUCUGUUUAAAUCAGAAGCAAUAUCUGAAAAAGGUAUUACAAUGUUUUGGCGUAAAUGAAAACACAAAACAUGUAAGUACCCCACUUGCUUCUCAUUUGAAACUUAGUGCUCAAUUAUCUCCGAAGACUAAAGAUGAAAGAGAAUAUAUGGCGAAAGUCCCAUAUGCUAAUGCAGUUGGGAGUUUGAUGUAUGCGAUGGUGUGUACGAGGCCUGACAUUUCACAAGCUGUUGGAGUUGUGAGCAGGUAUAUGCAUGAUCCUGGAAAAGGACAUUGGCAAGCUGUGAAAUGGAUUCUACGGUAUCUUCGAAAAACCGUAGAUGUUGGUUUAAUUUUUGAACAGGAUGAAGCACUUGGUCAGUUUGUAGUUGGAUAUGUUGAUUCCGACUUUGCUGGUGAUUUAGAUAAACGUCGUUCAACUACGGGGUAUUUGUUUACUCUUGCGAAAGCCCCAGUGAGUUAGAAGUCUACCUUACAGUCUACAGUAGCUGUGUCUACUACAGAGGCAGAUGGCAGUUACAGAAGCUGUUAAGGAGGCUAUUUGGCUUAAUGGAUUGUUGAAAGACUUAGGAGUUGUUCAAAGUCACAUAAGUUUAUAUUGUGACAGUCAGAGCGCUAUUCAUUUAGCGAAAAAUCAAGUCUAUCAUUCAAGAACCAAGCAUAUCGACGUAAGAUAUCACUUUGUGCGGGAAGUCUUUGAAAAAGGAAAAAUUCUACUUCAGAAGAUUCCGACAGCAGAUAAUCCCGCAGAUAUGAUGACAAGGUGGUAACAACAAUCAAGUUUAAUCAUUGUUUGAACUUGAUUAACAUCCUGAGAAUUUGAGCACCUUCAGGUGUAUGGCGCUCGAGAGCGCAUUUGUAGGCACUACAAAUGAUAGCUUUAUCGAAUUUGGGGAGUUGAAGGAAGUGUGUGAAGAUGUGAUUAUCCUAAUCAAAUCUUCAAGGUGGAGAUUGUUAACAUUAAUGGAAGACAAUUAAUAAUGGUUGCCAUUAACAUUAAUGGGAGACAAUCAAUAAUGACAACCACCAACUUUGGAAAAGUGGCAUGGGAUAAUUUUUUUUUGGUCCUUGAGAUAAUGGGCUAUUUAUUGUUUGGUCCUUGAACCUCAACUAUAAAUAGGCCUUCUCAUUUCUCAUUUCAAUUCAUCCCAACCAAUCUUUCUCUCUUAGUUUUCUCUCUUCUCUCAUUUGAGAAUUCUUAAGGAAUUCUAUUUGUUUGUAAUAUCUUGGAGAUAGUAAAGUUAUCAUCUGUUGUUAGUGCCCGAGGACGUAGGUAUAAUUUACCGAACCUUGUUAAAACUCUUGUGUUCUUUCUUGUCCUAUUUUUCUUUCAAUAUUUGAGGGUAUAAUAGUAGUAUUUAAUUGUGCUAUUAAAUUACUAUAAAAUGGAUAUUCUGACUAAGGAAAGACUUGGUAUUUAAGAGAUCCUUGUGAUCCACCUCUCUUUCCUGGGAAUUGAACUUUGUGUGAUUUUUUAGUACAAUAAUUUACACGCUUCCGACCCUAUUGGAACAACAGGAGGAACUGAGGAGGUUCAAAGCAGCUGAAGAGUCUUUCGUUCAGAAGUUCCUUGAACAGAAAAGAAUGGCCCAUAUGCGGUACGAAUCAAUGCAAGGGAAUGUGUGUGCUCGGAAGAAAACGCUCGAAAAGAAAGUGGAAUCAUGGGAAACAUGGAGGAGGGUGUCAGUGGCCUUUCUUGUUGCCGCUUUUAUUUCCAUGUUGGUUUUUUCCGUGGUGGCGGUAAUCAUAUCCGCAAAGCCUGUCAUAACAACUUUGGCAGGUGCGUUGACGACUGCUAUAGUUCCGUUGGGAACAUGGUGCAACAAGUAUUGGAAGCGGAACAAGGAAAAGAUAAAAGAGAAGAAGAAGUUAACAGCUAUAAUGGAGAUCUAUGGUUCUAGUGCAACCACCAUAUGGAUGCAAGUUGAAGAAUUGGAAAUUAAGAAAACGUCACUGUCUCACUCCGUUGAUUGCGUGCUCACAGAAGGAUAUACUUUGAAGGUUGGGAUGGAUGAUAUCAACGAAAAAUUGAAACAUGUUACUUCUAUCAUCACAGAUUUGCUUCGAGAGACCGAUGGCUGUCGUUGUAAAUUUAGGACGGAUUGGGAAGGGAUUCAGCGGCAGAUGAUGCUCAUGCUCUAGCAUAUCGACCGGAGAGCGAAGACAAUCCCUUGGGAACUCUAGCAAUGACAUACCUCACCGUAUUUAUGGCGUAUCGGUUUUACAUUCCGAUUUAUAUGCAUUCAGGUUUGUGAUUAAAUAAAUGAUCUAAUGCUAAACAGGUGUUAUUGUACUUUAGUCUCUUAAAGUGCUAUCCCUAUUCCCCCGAAUCCGGUUUUCUUUGGACCGAUUUCGGCGAUGAAUUGGAACUCUUUGUUACCUUGAAAAUAAAUAUUAUUAUAUUGACAAUGCUUUAAAUUGGAUAUGUAUAUUCAGCUGUGAGAAUGCAUACAUUUAUUUCUAUAUGUGUGUGAUGCAAUGCUGCUAUGUUCUUAGUGUUGAUUGAAUCAUUAGCCCCUGAUCUCCAUGCUUGUUUCCUAGCAGUGAUGUUGGACUUUAGUCUCUUGAAGUGCUAUCCCUAUUCCCCUAAUCCGGUUUUUUUUGGACCGAUUUCGGGGAUGAAUCAGAACUCUUUGUUACCUUGAAAAUAAAUAUUAUUACAUUGACAAAUGCUUUAAAAUGGAUAUGUACAUUCAACUGUGAGAAUGCAUACAUUUAUUUAUAUGUGUGUGUGAUGCAAUGCUACUAUGUUCUUAGUGUUGAUUGAAUCAUUAGCCUCUGAUCUCCAUGCUUGUUUCCUAGCAGGUGUUGUUGUACUUUAAUCUCUUAAAGCGCUAUCCCUGUUCCCCUUAAUCCGGUUUUCUUCAGACCGAUUUUGGGGAUGAAUCAGAACUCUUUGUUACCUUGAAAAUAAAUAUUAUUACAUUGACAAAUGCUUUAAAUUGGAUAUGUACGUUCAGCUGUGAGAAUGCAUACAUUUAUUUAUAUAUGUGUGUGUGAUGCAAUGCUGCUAUGUUCGUAGUGUUGAUUGAAUCAUUAGCCCCCGAUCUCCAUGCUUGUUUCCUAGCAGGUGUUGUUGUACUUUAGUCUCUUAAAGUGCUAUCCCUAUUCCCCCGAAUUCGGUUUUCUUUGGACUGAUUUCGUCAAUAAAUCGGAACUCUUUGUUACCUUGAAAAAAAAUAAUAUUACAUUGACAAAUGUUUUAAAUUGGAUAUGUAGAUUCAGCUGUGAGAAUGCAUACAUUUAUUUAUAUUGACAAAUGCUUUAAAUUGGAUAUGUACGUUCAGCUGUGAGAAUGCAUACAUUUAUUUAUAUAUGUGUGUGAUGCAAUGCUGCUAUGUUCUUAGUGUUGAUUGAAUCAUUAGCCCCCGAUCUCCAUGCUUGUUUCCUAGCAGGUGUUGUUGUACUUUAGUCUCUUAAAGUGCUAUCCCUAUUCUGCCGAAUCCAGUUUUCUUUGGACUGAUUUCGGCAAUAAAUCGGAACUCUUUGUUACCUUGAAAAAAAUAAUAUUACAUUGACAAAUGUUUUAAAUUGGAUAUGUAGAUUCAGCUGUGAGAAUGGAUACAUUUAUUUAUAUAUGUGUGUGUGAUGCAAUGCUGCUAUGUUCUUAGUGUUGAUUGAAUCAUUUGCCCCCGAUCUCCAUGCUUGUUUCCUAGCAGGUGUUAUUGUACUUUAGUUUCUUAAAAUGCUAUCCGUAUUCGCCCUAAUCCUGUUUUCUUUGGAUUGAUUUCGGCGAUGAAUCGGAACUCUUUGUUACCUUGAAAAGGAAUAUUAUUACAUUGACAAAUGCUUUAAAUUGGAUAUAUACGUUCAGCUGUAAGAAUGCAUACAUUUCUUUAUAUAUGUGUGUGUGAUGCAAUGCUGCUAUGUUCUUAGUGUUGAUUAAAUCAUUAGCCCCCCAUCUCCAUGCUUGUUUCCUAGCAAGUGUUGUUGUACUUUAGUCUCUUAAAGUGCUAUCCCUAUUCCCCCGAAUCCAGUUUUCUUUGGACCGAUUUCGACGAUGAAUUGGAAUUCUUUGUUACCUUAAAGAAAAUAUUAUUUAUUAUUACAUUGACAAAUGCUUUAAAUUGGAUAUGCUGCUUUUUUUUUUCUACAUAAGAACAAGAAGAAAAAAUAAAUAAAUAGGCGUUAACUAUGGUCUUCGCGUGCCAAAAUCAAGCAUAUCUUCCUCCAUUAAAACUCGGACCUGUUGAGGGGGAGCGUCAAAUAUAAUAACACCAUGCAGGGCAUCAUGAGCCAUGUUCGCUAACUGAUCCGCACAUCUAUUGCCUUGGCGAAAAAUAUGUCUAAGUUCCAGAAUCCAAUCGCCUUUGAUGAGUUCCAAGCAAUCUUUAACCAAAGUGUAACUAGGAUGAGAAUCAAUCAUCGUGGACUUAAGAAAAUCAACAACCACCGCUGCAUCGAGCUCUAUCGAGCUCUACUAUCAAAGGCAAAAAUCCUCUCUCCUUUGCUAGUAAUAACCAAUGCUGUAUGCCCCAUACCCCAUAUCUCCGCUUCAAGGCUAUUCGUCACUCCAAUGUUGAUCACAAGCCCCGACAUCCAAAUCCUUGCAGCAUUCCAAAUUAACCCCCCAGUCGAGGCAUGACCAUCAUCAUGCCUUCUAGAGCCAUUAGUAUUUAACAAAAAGACACCCUCUGGAGGAUGUUUUCACUUCACAAUCUGACCUGAAGCACCACCUAAACUCACUGAAGAAGAAAACACCAGCCCCGCUUCACGAGAAAGUUUAGUAGCAUAAGCAAGAAUAGCAUCCGCACUUGGGGUUUUAGCAUUGAAAACUAAAUCAUUCCUAGCCUUCCAAAUACUCUAUAACAAUAAAGGAAAAAAGAAUUCCAAUUACAACCAUGAGUUACCUGGAUAUUCUUAUUGAUGUUGGUGAACAACCAAUCCACCAACUCAUGUUUGUCAUCAAAUUGAACCCCAAAUCUUCGACCUACACAUUCCAAAAUACCAACCACAAAAGGGCUCCUAUGAAAUAUUUGAUCGACAUUUUCGAAAUCCGCUCCGCAGAGACGGUAAAUAGACUUUAUAUCAAGUUCCUUUUGACGCAAAACAUCGGAUGUGUUCAAGCAAUUGAAAAGCAGAUGCCAAAUAAAGAAAUGAACUCGUUCAGGCACUGGAAGUUUCCAAACCCAUGAACAUUUGCAACAUUUCGAUGUGACUCUCCAGGAACAUACUAACAGUGGCAUCAGCACGCUUACUGUCGGUUCGGGUGUUCAAUCGAUAUCCUUUAACAGGCUACAAGAGGUUACCAGUUGUCUUCUCGAAACAAAUCAGGCAGUAGUGAAAGUCUUUUUGGAAUGUCAAAGAGAUAUAUCGAGAAAUUAGGUCAACAAGCCGAUAAGUGUAGCGGUGAUAUUAGGAUGGCGAGGGCAGUGAUUUUGCACCGGAUGAUGACACACUCUAGCACGUCAACAACCGGAGCCAUGCCUUUGGAUCUCUAGCAACACUGACCUCGUUGUGUUUGUCUUGUACUGAAUUUUUACGCUCUCGAGAUAAUGAAAUCCUGCUUUUACACAUAAGGUGAAUAGUUAUAAACAUGCCGAUUCUAAAAUGUACCUGCUAGUCCAAUGUUAUAUAGGAUGUUUUCAACUAUAUCUAAUACAUGCUUGUUUUGUAGCAGGUGUUGUUGUACUUCACAUUGUAACUGUACUAUGGAUAUUCCAGUAAGGCCGGUUUUGUUCGGACCGAUUUUUCGUCAAUGAACCGGGUCUCUUUGUUACCUUUAGCAGUAGAGUAAGUUGUGAAAGUUGAAAGAGUUAAUUGAAAGAAUCUGAAUUCUCAAAACUUCAUACUAAAAGGAAGUGUUUGUUCAAAACUUCCAAGUGAUUGAAUUAGAUGUGUUGAACUUCAUCAAUGUUUUAGAAAUUAAAAUAAAUAUAAAUAUUUAUUUUGGUUUUAGUCCCUCUACUAUGCUAUCAUUUAAGAUUUGAUUUUUUUUACUUUUUUUUUGAUAAAUUAAACAAAGAAUUACAUAGAGUAUAUCAUAGACAAAUUAUCAAAAAAGCUAUUAUCCUUUGAGAUCUCUUUAAUCUCCAAAGGGGUAUCCUAAAAAAUAUGCAGAGAUUUAUCACUCGAAAGGAUCAUUUUUACCAAAGCAUCAGCUACCGAUUGGUCUCUCUGGGAACAUAAAUCAAGGACCAAUUCUCUUCAAAGGCUAGAAUUUGUUGAAUCCUAUUUAUUAGUGAAUUUUUUAGAUCACCAAACUUGCUCUCGCUGAUAGAAAUCACAUUUUCAAGAUUAUCUGAUUGAAUAAUGACCUCAUCGUAGCCUUGUUUCUGAAGGAUAAGUAUUCCAUCCAAUAAACCCCACAAUUCAAUUGUGUGAUUGUGAUUAAAAAAAAAACAUUCCAUUGAUAUGUAAAUUAACAACAUUAACUGAUAAUGUUAUUAAUUCCAACAUGUUGAUAAUGUUAUAAUGAUUAAAUUAUAUGAGAUGAAAUUUCAGUUGAACCGAGGAUUCAAUUUGUUUUUAAUUAAUUGGUUUCUUUUUCUUAUUUCCAAGUGGUGUACUUUAUUAUAAAAUACCAUGAGUAAGUGGUGGAGUUCAUUUUUUUACUUCAAUUUGGUUAUUUUUAGUUCAUCAAUUCCUCAAAAUUUGAAAGUUCAAUCUUGACCUGAAUGAUAACUAAUAUUGUAAAUGCCCAAAUUUGACCGGCCCUUAAUAAAUAACGGUCCAUUAAUACUUAAUAACAAAAGUACAAGCCCAAAAUACAAAGAAAACCCUAGGUAGCCCGUUGGCCCAACAACUUAAACAUUUCCAGUAUAAACCAAAAAAAAAAAAGAAAACCCUAAGCAUUUUCGCGCCGCAACCUCGCCAUGUCGACAGGCGUGCCGUCUGACACCCCUUCUACCACCAACUCCGUUGACUCCAGAGCCACCUGCAAAAAACUAAACAUAGAAGCAGCAUAAAGAACACACAAGAGCAGUAGCAAAACAGUGUAUGGCAGAAACAGAAAAAGAAAAAGCAAAAUAAUACUGUAAAAUUGGCUAUAAAAGCCCAAGAUGUAUUUUGACAAAAACAAUGAGAAAUACAAAAAAAAUAAUCUGCAAGUUUUAAAAAAACUAGAUAAUCUUUUUGUUUUAAACCUGUUCUUAUCUAUUAUUUUUUUACUUUUUCGAAAAAAUAAAAAUUUCUUCUUAUCUGCGCCAUUCGCCGUGCGAAGCCGAGGCCACUGUCUCCGAUGAAAGACAGUACUGCCAUUGAAGGAGAAACUGAAAGGUUUCUUAAAGAUUUCCAUUUCUUUUUGUCAUUUUUUAAUUGGGAUAAAAUGUUUUAAAAAAAGAAUUUAAAACGGUUUAAACGAAGUUAAAAGGGUAUUUUUUGGGGUUUUCGGCCACCGCAGAUGGCGGCCAUAGUUGCCGGAGACCGGUGGUCGCCAUGGUGGCUCAAAGGCCAAACAUGAGAAAGCUUGUGAGAAAAACUGAGGGGCUUCUAGACUUUUUUUUUUUAAAUGAAGGGGAAAUGAUUUUUUUUGAAACUUUUUUAACUUAUAUAGACUAAGAGUUAGUUCUUCAUUGCUUUUAAAAAGUGCUGUGGAAAAGUAUUUUUGAGAAGUGUUUUUGAGAAGUGCUUUGAAAAAAUUUAAGUGUUUGAUAUUGCUGACAAAAAGUAUUUUUGAAAAGUAAAAUGUCCAUUUUAGACAUGAUAUUAUAAAGUAACAAAUAUAUAUUUAAAUAAUGUUCAAAUUAGUUAAUAUUAUGAUAUUUUAGUAAAAAUAUAAAAAAAAUAAUUUAUUAUAACUUAUUGUUAAUAUUUUAAUAUAUAAUAUUAAUUUUAAAUAUUUCUAAGUAAUUAAUAUUAAUUAUUUAUUAAAUUUAAUUAGAAUAUAUAAACUAUAUUUAAAUAUUUAGAUGUAAUAAUUAAAUAUUUGUAAUUAGAUAUUGACACAAUUGUAUUAUUUUAAAAAAUAUUUUUUAUUUUUAAUUAAUGCUUUUAACACACUUGUAAAACUCAUAUUAAAUAACCAUGAAAGAGAAUACAAAAUAAUAGCAUCAAACACAUUUUAAGUCAAAAAGUAAGGUUAAAAAGGUAAAAUAACAGUCAAAAGUGUUUUUUGGCUGAAAAACCUAAAAUUUACUACUUUUUCAUCUCUAAAAAAACUCAUCCCAAAAGUUAAAAAAGUUGGCCCAAUGAUAUAUGUUCUUCAUUGCUUUUAAGAGAAAAGCACUUUUUUUUAGAAAAAGUUCAUCCCAAAAGCAAUGGAGAACACACCCUAAGUAAAACAACAUCGUUUUGAAAUAACUUCAAACGCCCCAAAACGAUGCCGUUUAGAAGCCAAACCGAAAAUCCGACUCGGUCCUUUAAUAUUAUUCGCGUGUUUUUUCUUAAUGGUCUAUUUAUGCUUUCGGUCCUUCCGCUUUUUAAUGACAUUUUAAUGCAGUACUAUUUCUUUUUUUCUUUUUUUUUUUAAUUUUUACCACGUAAUUUUGAUUUUAGUUCAUUUUCGUCCCCAUGGAACGAUGCGUUUAGAGGGCUUGGGAAUAAUUUCCUAGUUGGUCCCUACUCUUUUAUAUGCAUUUUAUUUGAGUCCUUAUUUAUAUUUUCUUAUUUAAUUUAUUAUAAUUUAUGCUUGUAAUUUCAUUUAAAUUCCAUUUUAGUCCAUAUUAGUCUAUUUAUUUAUUUAUUUACAGUUUACACUCCUUAAUUUCAAUUAAGCCCUCUGUUUAUUUAAUUUCAAUCUUUCUACAAAUUGUUUUUAUUUAUUUAUUUAUUCAUUUAUUUGUUUAUUACCUUUUUUCUUACAUUUAAAAAUUAAAAUUUUCAUAUUCUUUUAUUUGAGCGAUUAUUAUUAUUAUUAUCUUUAUUAUAUAUAUAUAUUUAUUUCUUGUUAUUUUAUUAUUUCUUUAUUUAUUUUUGAUAUUUUCAUGUAAUGUUUAUUUAUUUUUUUAAAUCAUGCAUAUUCCCUUUUGUUUUUUUAUCUUAAAUUACAUCAUUUAUUUAUUAUCACUAUGAUAUGAUUAUUAAUGUUAGUGUUAUUAUUACAAUUAUGUUAUUACCAUUAUAAUAUUUCUUCAUUUAUGUAUUAUUUCUCAUUCUAUCUAUAUAGUCAUUUUAAAUUAUCUCAUAUCAUAUAUUAAGGUUCAAACAUUUAUCCAUUUGUAUAUCACGCUCGAAUGAAUUAAAUACAUAUCGUUUUAAAUAUUGCAUUCGUCUUUGUGCGAGGCACAAAAAAUGAAUUUUUUUUAAAUCAAAGUAAUAUUCAUUAUUUUGGAAUUAGAAAAGCUGUGUUCUUAACUUACGGAAUACGGCUUCUUUCUAAAACCGAGAUAGUUGAAUAUUUACUCUAAAAUAAAAUAAAAAUGGGAUUUAAGUGAUGAUUAAAUGGCGUUCAUUUUUGUUCUCAAGGAUCUAAGGCAUUGUGUCCUAACUUAGGUACAUGAUCCUUUUCUUCUUGAUUAACUUGAAAUAAGCCCCUUUUCGUGAAAAUUAAUUUAGUUAAGUAAUGUCUUAAUAAAUGAUCGUAUUUUUAAAUCUCUUCAAAUAUUCAAUUUGCGACACUAAAGACAUCAAGUAAUCGAUUAGGUACCAAUUUCGGGCGUAACGAGGGUGCAAAUCCUUCCUCGUGCGUAACCGACUCCCGAACCCGUUUUCUGGAUUUUUGUAGACCGAAAAACAUUGCUUUAAUAAAUCAAACCUCUUAUUAAAACUAUCAAAUUACGAGGUAACCCGAUUAUACCUCCUAGAAAGUGAUUGGUGGCGACUCCCAUUUUCAUUUUAAAAUAAAAAGUUGAUUUCAAAAUAAAGAGAUUUCGACAAAUAUUUUUAAAAUCAGAUUGGUGAUUGAACUAAUUAGACGAACGAUUUAAUUAAAAAUCAUAAAAAAAAAAUUAGUUCAACCCAUUUCAUGAGUCAAUUGACCCAACCUCUUCUUCUAGAUUGAUACUUUAUCUAAAUUCCUAAUCCAUUCGAUUUAGUUAAAAAAAACCUUGAUGAUAAUUAUUAAAUUCGUAAUUAAAUUCUAUUAUUUUAAAAAUUUUAAUUAGUAAAUAUGUCAUCCACAUAUAGGUUGCAAAUUGAUUAGUAUAGGUGUAUGUGCUUGUUGCCUCACCAUAAACAGCAAAAAAACAAAGUGAUGUCCGAAUGAUUUACUUAACACGUUUACAAGACUGUUAUCCAUUUUCUACAGUGCCAAAGAUUUUUUAUUUAUUUAAGGGUAAACUAUUAAAAUAGUCACUUUUAUUUUUUUCAGAUUAUAUUUUAGUCACUUACGUUAUCGUGCUGUAACAUUUUAGUCAUUGAGUGUUAAUUGUUAUUAACGGUGUAAUAGUAAAUUAACAUGACACAUUAAAUCAUCAUUUUAAACGAAAAUUUUAGGUUAAAUUAUACAAUUAGUUUCUAUUUUUUUUAUUUUGAGUAAUUUAAUUUUUUUCUUUUAUAUUAAAAGAGAUGGAGAAGAGGGAAAAAUAGAAAAAGAAGCAUAAGAGAAUGAAAAAUAAAGGGGGAAAAUUUUUAUGCUAUACCAUUAACUGUAAUUAAUGACUUAAUGAUUAAAAUAUUUUAACGAAUUAACAUAAGUGACUAAAAUAUUUCACGGGUCGUAGUUGGGUACGGAUCAAGGUUGAUUUUUUAUUUUACAAAAAUUGAAACUUUACUCUCACAAUCAAGGUCUUUGAACCCUCGGCUAAGUUCUAACACUUGAAAACCCUUUCUGACUUUUCACGAUCUUGUUUAUUUUGUUCAUUUGUUGAACUUCAAGGAAUUUUCAUGAAUUUUCCAAGGAAUUUUUCACUUGAUUACUGGAUUUUACUUAGAUUUGUGUAUUAGCAUUUGAAUCUAUUAUCAGCCACUAUGGUAUCAUCUAGUGGUUUCGAACCGUCAUUCCGCACUGAACUGCCACGGGAUUCCCGAUCCGAACCUGAAUCGAGCUUGAACAGCGCUGCUAAUAGUGAUAGUGAUACUCUCCCGAAUCGUAUUGACAGUAUCAUCAACUCACUUGCGGUCGAUUUGGACUUCAAGAAUUUGAUGAAGGAAUACUUUACCGACUUCGAAAUGACUUUAAAGUUCUGUACUGCCCUUAAGGAUUGCCUCGAACAUGCUCCACACAAUCACGAAAUUAUUGAGUCGGCGCUUAAAUCUUAUGAUGAAGAGGACAAAUUAGAAGUCGAGACCGUCAAGAAGAAUUCCUUUAAGGCCUUGGAGGAAAUGAGGAGGUUCAAAGCAGCUGAAGAGCUUUUCGUUGAGGAGUUCCUUGUACUGAAAAGAAUGGCCCAUAGGCGGUACGAAUCGAUGCAAGGGAAGGUGCGUGCUCGGAAAAAAGGGCUCGAAAAGAAGGUGGAAUCAAGGGAAACACUGAGGAGGCUGAUGACCUUAUUGUUAGAAAUCAAACCCACUCCAAGCAUAAUCUAGAAGCAUGAGACGUGGAGCAAUUUUGUGCCAUGCAAAGUGCUGAAAUUUUAGCCAUACAAAGUGCUCCAUUAUUGAGAUGUUUUGUGGCUGGAAAUUAAGUGGAUUAAUAGCCACAUUUGUUGUCACUUUAUCAGCCUAUAAAUAGAGGCUUGAACUUGUGUUGUAAAGGAAGAAAAAUGAGAAGAAAAAAGAAAUAAGAGAAGCAACGUGAGUGAGAGUGAGAAGGUUAGCAAACCUUGAGUGAGUUAAAAUCUAGCAGCAGCUAGACUAUCUAGUCAUUGAGAAAAUAUUUGUAAUCUUCGUAUUGUAAUAUAUUGAGUGUGUAAUAAAAAGUAAAUUUUCGGCCCAUCACGUUUCCAACAAGUGGCAUCAGAGCUACGGUUCGGAGCUUGGUUCGGAGUUCGGUUCGUGUCCGGUUCGUGUCCAGUUCGGAGUACCUUUGGUGUUCAUCUAACAAGUCGAUAUGGGCGACGUAAUUCAGCUACAAGUUCCACAAUUGACGAAGACAAAUUAUGGAAAUUGGAGCAUUCGAAUGAAGGCUUUGCUCGGUUCGCAAGAUUGUUGGGAGAUCGUUGAAAAAGGAUACAUCGAGCCCGGAGAUGCCGCUACAGAAGCAGCUUUUUCAAAUGACGCUAAGAAGGCGUUACGAGAAGCAUGAAAGAAGGAUCAAAAGGCCUUGAAUAGUAUCUUUCAAGGAAUGGAUGAAUCAACCUUCGAGAAAAUAUCAGAUGUGAAGAACGCGAAGAAUGCAUGGGAGAUUUUGCAAAAAUCAUUUCAAGGUGUAGAAAAAGCUAAAAAGGUACGCCUUCAGUCACUUAGAGCUGAAUUUGAAAUGUUAAAAAUGAAGAGCUCCGAGAAUAUCGAUGACUAUGCCAAUCGUGUAAAAUCGGUGGUAAAUGAAAUGAAACGAAAUGGAGAAACUCUUGACGAGGUAAGAGUGAUGGAGAAAAUUCUACGGUCACUCACACGCAAAUUCGAGUACGUAGUCGUUGCCAUCGAAGAAUCAAAAGAUUUGUCAAAGAUGUCGCUCGAAGAACUUGUGGGUUCUCUGCAAGCCCAUGAGCAAAAGAUGAAGCUAAAUGAAGAUAGUGAAAAUCUUGAUCAAGCCUUGCAUAGCAAGUUGUCCGUCGACGACGGAGAAACAAGUAAUAACUUUAACCAAGGAAGAGGAAACCGCAGAGGAUACCGUGGAGGCUACCGUGGUGGAAACAGAGGAGGAAGAGGAUCACGAGGACGUGGAAAUCAAUCAUAUGGGAGAUAUCAAGAAAAUAAAGAUUAUCAAACAUCCAACCGUAGACGUGGAUCUAGAGGUCGUGGCCGAGGCAGAUUUCAAGAAAAUAAAUCUCAGGUACAAUGCUACAACUGUAACAAGUAUGGACAUUUCAGUUACGAGUGCAGAUCAACACACAAAGUGGAUGAAAGAAACCAUGUAGCAGUCGCAGCAGAAGGCAACGAAAAAGUGGAAUCAAGUGUCUUUCUCACUUACGGAGAAAAUGAAGAUCGCAAGAGAAGUGUGUGGUAUCUCGACAACGGUGCAAGCAACCACAUGUGUGGAAGAAAGGAGCUGUUCACAGAAUUAGAUGAAACAGUUCAUGGACAAAUAACUUUUGGAGACAACUCACAUGCAGAAAUCAAAGGAAAGGGCAAGGUUGUUAUAACACAAAGGAAUGGAGAGAAGAAGUACAUCUCAGACGUUUACUACGUACCAGCUUUGAAGAGCAACCUGAUCAGUCUUGGUCAACUCCUAGAAAAAGGAUAUGAAGUUCAUAUGAAAGACCGCUCACUCGCCAUCAGGAACAAAAGUGGAGAAUUAGUUGUUCGAGUUGAUAUGACGCGAAAUCGUCUUUUCACCCUCGACAUCGAGUCUGGAGAAGUAAAAUGCAUGAAGACGGAUCUGAAGAAUGAAUCAUGGUUGUGGCACUUAAGGUACGGACAUCUCGGAUUUUCUGGCUUGAAGCUGUUGUCGAAGACAAAUAUGGUGAAUGGAUUACCAAGUAUUAAUCAUCCAGAUCAACUGUGUGAAGCCUGUGUCAAAGGAAAGCAGCAUAGGCAGAAAUUUGAAGUAGGAAAAUCUCGAAGAGCUAGAAGACCAUUGGAAAUUGUACACACCGACAUAUCUGGUCCGUACGACAUUGAAUCACUCGGUGGAAACAGGUACUACCUAACUUUUAUUGAUGAUUAUAGCAGAAAAUGUUGGGUUUAUUUUCUCAAAGCAAAAUCGGAAGCCCUAGAAAAAUUCAAGGAGUUCAAAGCAAUGGUGGAAAAACAGAGUGGUCGAUAUUUGAAGAUACUCAGAUCCGAUAGAGGAGGCGAGUAUACUGCAAAGCUUUAUGAAAGUUUCUGCAAGGAUCAUGGAAUCAUUCAUCAGUUAACAGCCAGACGCACUCCACAACAAAACGGAGUUGCAGAAAGGAAGAAUUGGACAAUUCUGGAUAUGGCAAGAAGCAUGAUAAAAGGUAAACACCUUCCGAGAACUUUCUGGGCUGAAGCCGUUGAAUGCGCAGUUUAUCUGUUGAAUCAAUGUCCAACAAAAAGUGUAAGACACAAGACACCAGAAGAAGCAUGGAGCGGUCACAAGCCAAGAGUUGGACACCUCAAAAUUUUUGGAUGCAUUUCAUAUGCACACGUUCCUGAGCAACAGAGGAAAAAGCUUGACGAUAGAGGAGAGAAGUGUAUCUUUAUAGGCUAUGACAAAAGAAGUAAGGCCUACAGACUUUAUAAUCCUCUUACUAAGAAAUUGAUUAUCUCAAGAGAUGUCGAGUUCGAUGAAGCGGAUUACUGGAGAUGGAGUGAAGAAGAAAAGAAAGUGGAAGGAUUAUUUUUCAACGAAGACGACAAUAACCAAGAAGAACAAGGCGAUGAUCAAAGUCCUGGUACAACAGCCCCUUCGUCACCAACCAGCAGCAGCGGAAGCAGCAGCUCAGAUGAAGCACCCACAAGAACACGGAGUCUCAACGACAUCUACAAUUCUACGGAACCUGUAGAGACGCAGUUCGAUUAUUCACUAUUCUGUCUAAUGACAGAAUGUGAUCCAGUGACAUACGAAGAAGUAAUUGAAAACAAUAAAUGGAAGAAGGCCAUGGACGAGGAGAUUGCUGCAAUAAGAAGGAAUGACACAUGGGAGCUAACAAGUCUGCCAGAAGGACAUAGCCCGAUUGGUGUCAAGUGGGUGUACAAGACGAAGACCAACAAAGAAGGAAAAGUAGAGAAAUACAAGGCAAGACUAGUCGCCAAAGGCUACAAGCAAAGACAAGGAGUGGACUAUGAUGAAAUAUUUGCUCCAGUCGCAAGAAUAGACACAAUUAGGCUUCUCAUAGCGGUCGCAGCACAAUACAAAUGGAAAAUCUAUCAGAUGGACGUCAAGUCUGCAUUCCUGAAUGGCUACUUGGAGGAGGAAGUCUACAUAGAACAACCACCUGGAUAUAGCAUACAAGGAAAGGAGGACAAAGUCUACCGAUUGAAGAAAGCUUUGUAUGGAUUGAAGCAAGCCCCAAGAGCAUGGAACACAAGGAUCGACGAGUACUUCCGAAGAAAUGGAUUCAUCAAAAGCCCGCACGAGCACACCCUGUACACAAAGAAGAAUGGAUAUGGAGAUAUCAUGAUCAUAUGCCUAUAUGUGGAUGACAUGAUCUUCACCGGAAACAAUCCAGGUAUGUCUGAUGAUUUCAAGAAAGCUAUGACUAAAGAAUUUGAAAUGACAGAUAUCGGUGAGAUGUCAUACUUUCUUGGAGUCGAGGUGAAACAAAUGCAAGAUGGAAUUUUUGUCUCUCAAAAGAAGUAUGCGGAGCAGAUUUUGAACAAGUUCAAAAUGAAGGAUUGCAAGCCAGUAGUCACGCCAGCUGAUCCAGGGAUGAAGCUAAGUGUUGAUUCGACAAGGGAGUCGAUAAAUCCGACGUUGUUUAAAAGUCUCGUUGGAAGUUUAAGGUAUUUGACAAUCACACGACCAGAUAUUACAUAUGCAGUAGGAUUGGUGAGCAGAUUCAUGGAGAAGCCGAAGCAAGACCACUUAAUUGCCGCAAAAAGAAUUUUGAGAUAUAUCAAAGGUACGAUGAACCAUGGUUUAUUCUAUACCCACUCACAAGAUUCAAAAUUAGUUGGCUACUCAGAUAGCGAUUAUGGGGGAGACUUGGAUGAUCGGAAAAGCACUUCCGGAUAUGCAUUCCACAUCAGUUCCGCAGUUUUUUCAUGGUCGUCAAAGAAGCAACAAACAAUUGCUCUCUCAACAUGUGAAGCAGAGUAUAUGGCCGCAGCAACUUGUACAUGCCAAGCAAUGUGGUUGAAGAAUAUUUUGGGAGAAAUAGGUGUUUCAAAUGAAGGUCCAAUUACCAUCUACGUUGACAACAAAUCCGCUAUAUCACUUGCCAAGAAUCCGGUGUCGCACAGCCGAAGCAAGCACAUCGAUACGAAGUAUCAUUUUAUCCGAGAGCAAGUGAAAAACAAAAACGUGGAGUUGGUCCAUUGCAGGACAGAAGAUCAACUGGCAGAUAUUUUCACAAAGCCGUUGAAAGUGGAGACAUUCAACAAAUUCAAAGAGAAGCUCGGUAUGAAAGUUGGGUUUGAGGGGGAGUGUUAGAAAUCAAACCCACUCCAAGCAUAAUCUAGAAGCAUGAGACGUGGAGCAAUUUUGUGCCAUGCAAAGUGCUGAAAUUUUAGCCAUACAAAGUGCUCCAUUAUUGAGAUGUUUUGUGGCUGGAAAUUAAGUGGAUUAAUAGCCACAUUUGUUGUCACUUUAUCAGCCUAUAAAUAGAGGCUUGAACUUGUGUUGUAAAGGAAGAAAAAUGAGAAGAAAAAAGAAAUAAGAGAAGCAACGUGAGUGAGAGUGAGAAGGUUAGCAAACCUUGAGUGAGUUAAAAUCUAGCAGCAGCUAGACUAUCUAGUCAUUGAGAAAAUAUUUGUAAUCUUCGUAUUGUAAUAUAUUGAGUGUGUAAUAAAAAGUAAAUUUUCGGCCCAUCACGUUUCCAACACUUAUUUGUGCCCACUUUUAUGCGGAACAAAGAAAAGAUAAAGAUGAAGAAGAAGUUAACAGCUAUAAUGGAGAUCUAUGGUUCUAGUGCAACCACCAUAUGGAUGCUUGUUCAACAAUUGGAAAUUAAGAAAACGUCACUGUUGCACUCCGUUGAUUGCAUGGUCACAGAAGGAUAUACUUUGAAGGUUGGGAUGGAUGAUAUCAACGAAAAAUUGAAACUUGUUAAGCCUAUAAUCACAGAUUUGCUUCGAGAGACCGAGGAAUGUAGCUAUAAAUUUAGGACGGAUCGGGAAGAGAUUCAGCGGCAGAUGACGCUCAUGCUCUAGCACAUCAACCAGAGAGCGAAGACAAUCCCUUGGGAACUCAAGCAAUGACAUACCUCACCGAAUUUAUGGCGUAUCGGUAUUACAUUUAGGUUUGUAAAUACAUAUAUGAUAUAAUGAUUCUAUGGUCCUAUGUGAUCAUAUACAUUUGAUCAUAAACAGGAGUUGUUGUACUUUAGUCUCUUAAAGUGCUAUACCUACUCCCUCGUAUCCGGUUUCCUUUGGACCGAUUUCAGCAAUGAAUCGGAACUCUUUGAUGCCUUGAAAAAUAAUAUUAUUACAUUAUUAAAUGCUUGAAAUCGGAUAUGUACAUUCAGCUGUGAGAAUGCAUACAUUUAUUUAUAUAUGUGUUCGUGAUGCAAUGUUGCUAUGUUCUUACUGUUGAUUGAAUCAUUAGCCCCCAAUCUCCAUGCUUGUUUCCUAGCAGGUGUUGUUGUACUUUAGUCUCUUAAAGUACUAUCCCUAUUUCCUCGAAUCCGGUUUUCUUUGGACAGAUUUGGGCAAUGAAUUGGAACUCUUUGUUACCUUGAAAAAAAAAUUAUUACAUUGACAAAUGCUUUAAAUUGGAUAUGUACAUUCAGCUGUGAGAAUGCAUACAUUUAUUUAUGUCUGUCUGUGUGAUGCAUUGCUGCUAUGUUCUUAGUGUUGAUUGAAUCAUUAACCCCGAUCUCCAUGCUUGUUUCCUAGAAAGUGUUGUUGUACUUUAGUCUCUUAAAGUGCUAUCCCUAUUCCCCCGUAUCCGGUUUCCUUUGGACUGAUUUCGGCAAUAAAUUGGAACUCUUUGUUACCUUGAAAAAUAAUAUUAUUACAUUGGCAAAUGCUUUAAAUUGGAUAUGUACAUUUAACUGUGAAAAUGCUUACAUUUAUUUAUUUAUGUGUGUGUGAUGCACUGCUGCUAUGUUCUUAGUGUUGAUAGAAUCAUUAGCCCCCAAUCUCUAUGCUUGUUCCCUAGCAGGUGGUGUUGUACUUUAGUCUCUUAAAGUGCUAUCCCUAUUCCUCCAAAUCCGGUUUUCUUUGGACAGAUUUGGGCGAUGAAUUGGAAAUCUUUGUUACCUUGAAAGACAAUAUUAUUACAUUGACAAAUGCUUUAAAUUGGAUAUGUACAUUCAGCUGUGAGAAUGCAUACAUUUAUUUUUAUAUGUCUGUGUGAUGCACUGCUACUAUGUUCUUAGUGUUGAUUGGAUCAUUAGCCCCCAAUCUCCAUGCUUGUUUUCUAGCAGGUGUUUUUGUACUUUAGUCUCUUAAAAGUGCUAUCCCUAUUCCUCCAAAUCCGGUUUUCUUUGGACAGAUUUGGGCGAUGAAUUGGAACUCUUUGUUAUCUUGAAAAAUAAUAGUAUUACAUUGACAAAUGCUUUAAAUUGGAUAUGUACAUUCAGCUGUGAGAAUGUAUACAUUUAUUUAUAUAUGUGUGUGAUGCAAUGCUGCUAUGUUCUUAGUGUUUUUUGAAUCAUUAGCCCCCGGUCUCCACGCUUGUUUCCUAGCAGGUGUUGCUGUACUUUAGUUUCUUAUAGUGCUAUCCCUAUUCCCCCGAAUUCGGUUUUUUUGGACCGAUUUCGGCGAUGAAUCGAAACUCUUUGUUACCUUGAAAAAAACUUUAUUACAUUGACAAAUGCUUUAAAUUGGAUAUGUAGAUUCAACUGUGAGAAUGCACACAUUUAUUUAUAUAUGUAAGUGUGAUGCAAUACAGUUAUGUUCUUAGUGUUGGUUGAACCAUUAGCCCCCGAUCUCCAUGCUUGUUUCCUAGCAGGUGUUGUUGUGCUUUAGUCUCUUAAAGUUCUAUCCCUAUUCCCCUAAAUCUUAUUUUCUUUGGACCAAUUUCGGCGAUGAAUCAGAGCUCUUUGUUACCUUUAAAAGGAAUAUUAUUACAUUGACAUGUUUUCAAUUGAAUAUGUACGUUCAGCUGUGAGAAUGCAUGCACUUAUUUAUAUAUGUGUGUGUGAUGCAAUGCUGCUAUGUUCUUAGUGUUGAUUGAAUCAUUAGCCCCCCCAUCUCCAUGCUUGUUUCCUAGUAGGUGUUGUUGUACUUUAGCCUCUUAAAGUGCUAUCCCUAUUCCCCGAAUCCGGUUUUGUUUGAACUAAUUUCGACGAUGAAUCGGAAUUCUUUGUUACCUUAAAAAAAUAUUAUUACAUUGACAAAUGCUUUAAAUUGGAUAUGUUUUUUUUUUUUUGGUGCUACAUAAGAACAAGAAAGAAAAAUAGACAUUAACUAUGGUCUUAGCGUGCCAAAGCCAAGCAUAUCUUCCUCCGUCAAAACUCGAACCUGUUGAGGGGGAGCGUCAAAUAUAGUAACACCAUGCAGGGCAUCAUGAGUCAUGUUUGCUAACUGAUCCGCAUACCUGUUUCCUUUCCGGAAAAUAUGUCUAAUUUCCAGAUUUCAAUCGCCUUUGAUGAGUUCCAAGCAAUCUUUAACCAAGGUGUAACAAGGAUGAGAAUUAACCAUCAUGGACUUAAUAAAAUGAACAACCACUACUACGUCAGCACGCUUACUGUCGGUUCGGGUGUUCAAUCGAUAUCCUUUGCACGCUCCAAGAGGUUACCAGCUGUUGUCUUCUCGAAACAAAUCAGGCGGUAGUGAAAGUCAUUUUGGAAUGUCAAAGAGAUAUAUGGAACAAUUCAGAGUUGUUUUCUUUGGUUGAGGAAUACUUUGAGAAUAGCAAGAAGACGUUAGAUUUUUGUACCAUGCUCGAAAAUUGCGUCAAACGAGCUCGGAAUGAUCAGUUGAUCAUUCAAUUGGCGGUUAAGUAUUUCGAUGAAGAGGUCGGGUUAGAAGUUGGGGUCGAUGAGAAGAAAUUCAUGAAGACCUUGGAAGAACUGAGGAGAUUUAAAGCAGCUGACAAGCCAUUCCCGAAGGAGUUCUUUGUACUGUUAGAUUUGGUCCGUAAGCAGCAAGAAUCGAUGCUAGGGAAGUUGCUAGUUCGGAAAAGGAAGCUCGAUAAGAAAUUGAAAUCUUUAAAAACAUGGAGGAGAGUGUCGAAUGUCUUGUUUGUAGCAACGUUUGUCUCCGUGUUGAUUUUUUCCGUGGUGGCAGCAGCCGUAUCUGCACCACCUGUUGUGACAGCUUUAGCAAGUGCUUUGACAGUUCCUAUUGGUUCGGUUGGAAAAUGGUGCACCUCUCUUUGGAAGCGUUACGAGAAAGAGGUGAAAGAGCAGAUGGGGUUAACAACCACAAUGGAGCUCUUUGCACGCAUUACGAUUUAUGAUAUGGAUGACAUAAGGUUGCUCGUGACCAAUUUUGAGAUUAAAAUCGAGCCAUUAUUGAAGACUGCUGAUUUUGCACUCGGUGAAGAACAUGCGUUGAAGCUUGCAAUAGAUGAAAUCAAGAAAAAGUUGGGAGAAUUUAUGGAAAUCUUCGAGAAAUUAGGUCAACAAGCCGAUAAGUGUAGCCGUGAUAUUAGGAUGGCGAGGGCAGUGAUUUUGCACCGGAUGAUGACACACUGUAACACGUCAACAACCGGAGCCAUGCCUUUGGAUCUUUAGCAACACCGACCUCGCUGUGUUUGUCUUAUACUGAAUUUUUACGCUCUCGAGAGAAUGAAAUCAUGCUUCUACACAUUAGGUGAAUAGUUAUAAACGUGCCGAUUCUGAAACCUACCUGCUAGUCCAAUAUUAUAUACAAUAUUUUCAACGAUAUCUAAUACAUGCUUGUUUCGUAGCUGGUGUUGUUGUACUUCACAUUGUAACUGUGCUAUGGAUAUUCCCGUAAGGCCGGUUUUGUUCGGACCGAUUUUCGUCGAUGAACCGGAUCUCUUUGUUACCUUUGGCAAUAGAGUAAGUUGUGAAAGUUGAAUUGAAAGAAUCUGAAUUCUCAAAACUUCAUACUAUAGGGAAGUGUUUGUUCAAAACUUCCAGAUGUUUGAACUUCAUCAAUGUGUUAGAAAUUAAAAUUAAAAUAUAUAUUUAUUUUGGUUUUAGUCCCUCUAUUAUGCUAUAAUUUUAGAUUUGAUUUUUUUAAUUUAAUAUUGUUAAUUGUUAAUUGUUAACCGUGUGAUUUUUUUAAAAUAAUAGCUUUAUGUAAAUUAACAACAUUAACUACUAAAUUAAAUUAUACUAAAUUAAAUGAGAUGAUUAAAUUUUAAAUUUUUGUCCAAUGGAGACAUUAAAGCUAUAAUUAAUAAAAUUUACUUCAACAGCGGAUUCAAUCUAUUUUUAAUUUAAUUCAAUUAAUUUAUAUUGAUUCAGAAAUUAUUUGGUUUCUUUUUCUUAUUUCGAAUCGGUGUACUUUAUACUUCAAUUGGGUUAUUUUUAAUUCAUCUACUUUUCAAACUUUGAAAUUUCAAUUCUGACUCAAUGUUUUCAAAGUUAGACUGAUGAUUGAAUUAAUUAGGCCAUCGGUUCAUUAGUUCAAUCGAUUUAAUUAAAAAUUAUAAAAAAUAAAAAAAUUGGUUUAAUCAAUUUGUACCGUUUCAUGAAUCAAACUGACCCAACCUCGUGUUCGAAAUUGAUACUUUAACUAAAUCCCGAUCCAGUUAAAAAAACCUUGAUAAUAACUAUUAAACUCGUAAUAUUCAGUUAUUUUCAAAAUUUUAUUUAGUAAAUAUAUGUAUUAGUUUAGGUUGCAAAGAAUCCAAUCACUUUAAAUUGAAUGGUAUGGGUGUAAGUGCUUGUUGCCUAACCAAAAACAGAACACCACAAACAAGAGAAUCAAAAGAGUAAAGUGAUGACUUACUUAACACGUUUACAGUCUGUUAUCCAUUUUCCACAGUGCCAAUGGUUUAUUUAUUUAUUUAAUAGUAUCGGUAAUUCUCUAAUUAUUUUAUUAAUCAUUUUUUUUAAUACAAAAGAAAGGUAAAGUCUUAAUAGUAACGUAAUUAGUACAGCUCGAAUUUAAAUUAUUUUUGUAGUAGUAGAUAACUUGAUCAUCAGGUCUACGUACGGGUUCAUGUCAAUUUUUAAUAGUAAGAAUGGAUGAAAUUUUAAUAAAAAAUUAAUUUAUGAUCUAAUGUAUAUUAAAUAAUUUAUAUAUAUUUUUGAAUAGAAAAAAUAAAAUAUAAUUUUACUCACUUAAGUUUUAAUUCAGCCACUCAAUUUUUAAAAAAUAACAAUAUAGUCACUAACAUUAUUAAAAAGUAAUAAAUAAGUCACUUAUUAAUAUUUUCUGUUACUAUUUUAAUGGAACCGUUGAUGUGGUAAAUUAACUUGCCACAUUGACAUGACAAUGCAUUUAAAAUUAGUCUUAUUUAGAAUUUGGUCAUUGUACAUUAAGAAAACUUAAAAAUUAGUUCAAUUAAGUAUCAAUGUUAAAUCUUGAAAAUUACUUCUAAGUUUCAAUUUUAAAUCUUGCCGGUUGACCCAAAAAUCAGCAUUUCAAAAAAUUGUAUGCGAGAAAUUAGUAAAAAUCAACAAUUUAAUAAUUUAUAUCAAAAUUGAGGACUAACUUUUUAUUUUUCGUAAAUUAUAGAGAUGACAUUCACAAUUAGACCUAAAUAGUGACAAAUUACAAAUUUAAACCCUAAAUACCUUUUUUACAGGAUUUUUGCCAACGGAAUCGGGGAAAUCGACGGAAAAUGGUUGAAAUAAUUGAUUUUUUAUUUUUCAAAAGUUGAGUGAUUAAAUUGAAAUAAGAAUAACUAUUUUAUCAGAUACUUUAAAGUUGAGUGACUGUUGAUAUAAUUUACCCUUUAUUUUACAGAGAACCCAAACUUUACUCUCAAAGUCAGGGUCUUUAAACCCUCGGCUAAGUACUAACACUUGAAAACCCUUUCUGGGGUUUACAAGAUCUUGUUUAUUUUGUUCAUUUGUUGAACUUCAAGGGAUUUUCUUGGAUUUUCCAAGGAAUUUUAAGUGUGAGAAGACGAUCUUAGUUCACUUGAUUACUGGGUUUUAUUACUUAGAUUUGUGUGUUAGCAUUUGAAUCUGUUAUCAGCCACGAUGGCAUCAUCUAUUAGUUCUGAACCGUCAUUCCGAAUUGAAGUGCGACCGGAUUCCCGAUCCGAAGCUGAAUCGAGCUUGAACAGGGUUGCUAAUAGUUAUAGUGGUGCUCUCUCGAAUCGUAUUCACAAUGUCAUCAACUCACUUGCGCUCGAUUCGGACUUGAAGUCUUUGAUGAAGGAAUACUUCGCCAACUUCGAAAAGACUUUAGAGUUCUGUACUGCCCUUAAGGAUUGCUUCGAACAUGCUCCAAACAAUCACGGAAUUAUUGAGUCGGCGCUUAAAUGUUACGAUGAAGAGGACAAAUUAGAAGUCGGGACCGUCGAGAAGAAUUCCGUUAAGGCCUUGGAGGAACUGAGGAGGUUCAAAGAAGCUGAAGAGCCUUUCACUAAGGAGUUCCUUGUACUGAAAAAAAUUGCCCACAGGCGGUACGAAUCGAUGCAAGGGAAGGUGUGUGCUCAAAAGAAAACGCUCGAAAAGAAAUUGGAAUCACGGGAAACAUGGAGGAGGGUGUCAGUGGCCAUUUUUGUUGCCACUUUUAUUUUAGUGUUGAUUAUUUCCGUGGUGGCGGCAGUCAAAUCCGCAAAGCCUAUCAUAACAACUUCGGCAGGUGCGUUGACGGUUGCUAUAGUUCCAUUCGGAACAUGGUGUAACGGGUGUUGGAAGCGGAAGAAGGAAAAGAUAAAGGUAAAGAAGAAGUUAACAUCUAUAAUGAAGAUCUAUGGUUCUAGUGCAACCACCAUAAGGGCGCUUGUUGAACAAUUGGAAAUUAAGAACAAGUCACUGUUGCACUCCGUUGAUUACGUGCUCAAAGAAAGAUAUACUUUGAAGGUUGGGAUGGAUGAUAUCAACGAAAAAUUGAUACUUGUUACGCCUAUCAUCACAGAUUUGCUUCGAGAGACCGAUGACUGUGGCUGUAAAUUUAGAACGGAUUGGGAAGAUAUUCUGCGACAGAUGAUGCACAUGCUCUAGCACAUCAACCGGAGAGGGAAGACAAUCCCUUGAGAACUUUAGCAAUGACAUACCUCACCGUAUUUAUGGCGUAUCGGUUUUACAUUCAGGUUUGUGAUUACAUAUAUGAUAUAAUGAUUCUAUGGUACUAUGUGAUUAUAUACAUUUGAUUCUAAACAGGUGUUUUUGUACUCUUAAAUUACUAUUCUUAUGCCCCCAAAUCCGGUUUUCUUUGGACCAAUUUCGGGGAUGAGUCAGAACUCCUUGUUAACUUGAAAAAAAAUUUAUUACAUUUACAAAUGAUAUGUACAUUCAGUUGUGAGAAUGCAUGCAUUUACUUAUAUAUGUGUGUGAUGCAAUGCCGCUAUGUUCUUAGUGUUGAUUAAAUCAUUAGCCCUGAUCUCCAUGCUUGUUUCCUAGCAGGUGUUGUUGUCCUUUAGUCUCUUAAAGCGCUGUCCCUAUUCCCUCGAAUCCAGUUUUCUUUGAACCGAGUUUGACAAUGAAUCAAAAUUCUUUGUUACCUUAAAAAAAUAUUAUUACAUUGACAAAUGCUUUAAAUUGGAAAAGUUUAUUCUCUGAAUCCCAAUGGAUCAUUAUGAAAAUAGAGAGUAAAAAUACGAGAGAGGCCCUUAUACUAGGAGUAAUAUUGUGUUUUGCUCUCUUCAUUCAGGUAGUGUGUCAUAUGUAUGUAAUGCUAACGUACAUAUAUUAGUUUUUAACAGUAAAAAUGAAUGAAAUUUUUAACAAAAAUAUUAGUUUGUUUUUUGGUUUAACUUACAUGAACUAAUUUAUCUAUUUUUUUGAGUAAAAGAGACAAAAUGCAAUCUAAUGUAAUCUAACUCUUAAUAUAAACGCUUUCGUGAUACUUUUAUGGAAUGAAAAGAAAAAAUAUUCUAAACAAGCUAAUAAAAUAUAGGGUAGAAACUAGAAAUUUUUUUUUAACAAUCUCAUUAUAGAUUUUAAUUAUAUAUUUUUUUUUUGUACACAAUGCUUACAAUUACUCAUAGGCCAUAUUCCCAUCCCAACCCAUAAAUAGGGGAUAAUGUAUUUCAGUGCACUUGGACUCACGUCCUCCUGUAUUAGCAACAAUGUCCAUGCCAAUCGAGUUUAGACUGAAUCGGCCCGACUUUAAUUGUUUAUAAUAUACUAUUAAUAUUUUUGCAAUUAAAAAACUCAUUUGCUCCAAUUUAUUAGUUAGUUUUAUAACUCUCAUUUCUCACAUCUAUAAAUGGAUUAUAUUUUAUCCUUUUUACUAAAAUAACGAGUAAACUAAUCUCUAUACAUAAAAAGAAGAAGCAAAUUGAUCAUUUUAUUAAAAAUAUUAUUGAUUCCUAUUGCUAAAAAUUGGAAUAUGUGCAUCAGAAUGAGGUAUAGGUUGUAUGUCACAAGUAACUAUUUGAUUAUUCUGUUAGCUAUGCUCGUGUUUAACAAUAAGAAUGAGUGGAAUUUUUAAUAAAAAUGAUCAAUUUUCUCUUUUAUUGAAUAUACAUAAAAUAAUUUAUAUAUUUUUUAAAUAAAAUAAAUAAAAUAUAAUUUAACUUGUAACGCGAUAAUUUUACCUUCUAAAUAAUUUGGAUUUGUGGGUAGACUAGGUUGAUUGGAUUGGAUUGGAUUUUAUUUUAAUUGAAUGCUAAAGGUUUGAGCCUUUGUUUACUAAUUAAAAACAGAUUCAAAUAAUAAAGACAACCUAACACAGUUACAUUUCUGUCAUAUUCCACAUCCUAUAAUUGCCUUUGGGUCAACGUUUACUUAUUUAUUUUACAAAAACCAGAACUUUAUUCUCAAAGCCAGGGUCUUUGAACCCUCGGCUAACACUUGAGAACCAUUUCUGGGUUUUUUUAGAUCUUGUUUAUUUUGUUCAUUGUUGAACUUCAAGGGUUUUUUUAAAGGAAUUUUUCGUGUGAGAAGACGAUGGCAUCUUCUAGUAGUUCUGAACCGUCAUCCCGAAUUGAAGUGCGACGGGAUUCUUUGUCCGAAGCUGAAUCGAGCUUGAACUGGGUUGCUAAUAGUGAUAGUGAUACUCUCCCGAAUCGUACUCACAACGUCAUCAACUCUCUUGCGGUUGAUUCGGACUUGAAGUCUUUGAUGAAGGAAUACUUUGACAACUUCGAAAAGACUUUAGAGUUCUGUACUGCCCUUAAGGAUUGCCUCGAGCAUGUUCGAAACAAUCACGGAAUUAUUGAGUCGGCGCUUAAAUGUUAUGAUGAAGAGGAUAAAUUAGAAGUCCGGACCGUCGAGGAAAAUUCUGUUAAGGCCUUGGGGGAACUGAGGAAGUUCAAAGAAGCUGAAGAACCUUUCGUUAAGCAGUUCCUUGUACUAAAAAAAAUGGCCCAUAGGCGGUACGAAUCGAUGCAAGGGAAGGUGCGUGCUCGGAAGAAAACGCUCAAAAAGAAAUUGGAAUCAUGGGAAACAUGGAGGAGGGUGACAAUGGCCUUUUUUGUUGCCGCUUUUAUUUCCGUGUUGGUUUUUUCCGUGGCGGAGGCAACCAAAUCCGCAAAGCCUGUAAUAACAGCUUUGGCAGGUGCGUCGACGGCUGCUAUAGUUCCGCUGGGAACAUGGUGCAAUAAGUGGUGGAAGCGGAACAAGGAAGAGAUAAAGAAGCAGAAGAAGUUAACAACUAUAAUGGAUAUCUAUGGUUCUAGCGCUACCACCAUAAGAGCGCUUGUUGACCAAUUGGAAAUUAAGAAAAAGUCACUGUUGCACUCUGUUGAUUGCGUGCUCACUGAAGGAUAUACUUUGAAGGCUGCGAUGGAUGAUAUCAACGAAAAAUUGAAACUUGUUAUGCCUAUCAUUACACGUUUGCUUCGAAAGACCGAUGACUAUGGCAGUAAAUUUAGGACGGAUCGGGAAGAUACUCUGCGGCAGAUGAUGCAUAUGCUCUAGCACAUCAACCGGAGAGCGAAGACAAUCCCUUGAGAACUCUAGGAAUGACAUACCUCAUCGUAUUUAUGGCGUAUCAAUUUUACAUUCCAGUUUAUGUGCAUUCAUGUUUGUAAUUUCAUAUAUGAUAUAAUGAUUCUAUGUUCCUAUGUGAUUAUAUACAUUUGAUCCUAUAUGAUAUAAUAUUGAUAUUGUUGUAUUCAAUGCUAUAUGAUGAUAUUACGAUAUAUAUAUAUGUAAGUGAUGCAACACUGCUAUGUAUUACGAGACUGUAGAGAAUAUUUUAAUAAAGAAAGAAAACGUUGCAAAUAAGUGAACAAAAAUAUAUCGAAAACAAGUGAAAAGAAAAUUUCUAUAAACAAU